UCGUUGAGAAGGCUCACGAGCAGGCUCGUUAAAUAGGCUCGUGAGUAAUAUUGUUUAAAUAAAUUGGUAAACCAAUUCGUUAAAUAAAUUUAUGAACAAGUUCAUAUAUUAUUAAAAAAAUAAAAAUAACUAUAAAGUUAUAAAAUUUAAACUAUUAUAAAUACUUGAAAAUUAUAGUAUUGAAAAUUACAAAUAAUUAAGAUUAAUUAUUAUAAUUAAUAUUCUUUAAAAUUAAAUUAUAAAAAUCUUUUGUAUAUAAUUAUUAUAAUAAGAUUUCAUAAAAUUAAUGUAUAAUCACAAAUAAUUAAUAUUAAUUAUUAUAAUAAG
rnacentral:lncRNA from 1 species